CAACAGUGAGACCUCGACUGAUCAAAACUUUUCAAAUUUUUUUUAGGUUACAUUCACGCAAACUAUGUCGGCUGUGUACACUAAUGUAACUACAUGAGUAAACGCAGCAUCAAAUGAUCGGAUAUGAUGAGUGGUCUGAAAUGUGUGGCUCUCUAUAUAGGUAGCCUGCAGCUAUCAGGGAGUGCUGGGAGUGUUAGUUUGGCCACGUCCCUAGAGCCACAGAUACGUGAAUGCAAAGGACUACAUCAGAUUCAGUGGAUUGCGACGAUGAAAAGCGUUUUCAAAAUGUCAAUAAAAGGGUUAAUGAGG